CUCCAGUCCGCCGCCACAGGUCUUCGGGGCGGGUCGUGUCCCGCCAUGAAGUUUCGCGCCAAGAUUGCGGACGCAGCCUGUCUCAACCGCUUCACGCGUGAGCGGGUCGCAGGCGCCCAGGGUGUGGAGGCGGCAGCUGCCUGGUGGCCAAGCUGGCCCGCGCCUGCACCCCGCGCAUCCGCCUCCCUCCCCCGGCCCGGCCCGAGCGGCCCGAGCGCACCGGCCCCUGACCCCGCGCCGCCCCCGGAGAACUUCUUCAGCGAGUUCCAGGUGGAGGCGUCUCCGAGGACAACGAUGCCAUCUACGUGGAGCUCGCGGCCGAGAACCGCUCCCGCGCCCUGAACACCGCGCAGAACGGCCGGGCCUUGAAGGUCAGGGGGACCCACCAGCACUUCCCCUCCGGACGGCGUCCUUAGAGCUGGUGUCUGUGUCGAGCAGCAGCCGCACGUGACCCGACGUCCGUGAAGGUCACUCGCAGGAGGCCGUGGAGGAACCUGAGGAGCCACCGCCCGGACGCUGAUGUCUUGGCUGAGCGACAGUGAGCUCGUCACCUGCGCAGGGCGCGUCCACCAUCCACAGCGUGGCUCAGGGCCACGCGGGAGAGGAUGCGGAGACAGACGCGCACCCAGGCAGUGCUGAGGGACACCUGCAUGUCCGUCCUCAUGCUGCUCCUACACCUGCUUAGAACCCACGGGCCUUCCCCCCGGGAUGAACACUCUCUGCCACGCCAUCCGGAACACCUUCGACAGGAGAUGCCAGGAGCUCCUCCGGCAGACUAAGCAGCGUGGGUGCUGAUGGGACUGGAGCCUGACCACACUGCUGGAUGGCGUGUGCCCGGUCGGCGUGCCCAGCGCUCAGCCUCAGCCGAAUCCCAACAAGAACAGCAGAGGGCGCCCUCGGCACACCUACCGCUCCUCUCAACCGGCCAAGGCCUCAAAUCCAGAGCCGAGAAGCUGCACCGCCAGGAGGGAGAAGCUGCACCGCCAGGAGGUGCCCGCGCGGCUACAUGUCAGGCGGGGUCCUGGGCAGGACCCGGGGCAGGAGGGGGCCAUUUGGGGGAACUGAGGCGUCUGAGUGCAGGAUGGCUUCAUUGAGUUCACGAUGUGUCCGUACUGGUUCACUGAUUGUGACAAACGCAUCAGAGUGAGCGUGUGAGUGAGCGUUCUCCGGGGAGCAGCACCAACGGGACCGUAGACACAAUGUAGAUGUACAUGCAGAUUUAUCUGAAGGAACUGGCUCGUGACUGGGGAGACUUGAAACAUCCAGAACAGCGUUGGAGCAAAUAUCGGCAUCGUGGCCCUGCCACGCUGACACAGGACGUUAACCGUGGCACCAACAAACCCGUCGGGUGUGACACGCUGUCGCUGGCAGGAUCCGGAAGAGGAAGUGGAGUGUCUGGGAGGCGCAGAGGUGGGUGAGGCCGGGCCGCCCCGGGUCUGCACCCACGACCCCAAAGCUCCAGGAAGACAUACUGAGUGGAAGUAUGUUUACAAAAUAAAAUGUUUUUAUCGACGACAGAGAGAGAGAGAGAGAGAAACAUCUAUGAUGAGAGAAUCAUGGAUCGGCUGCCUCCUGCACACCUCCCACCGGGAGUCGAGUCCACAACCUGGACGUGGGCCCUGAUGGGGAACUGAACCGUGGCCUCCUGGUUCCUAGGUCGACACUCGGCCCCUGAGGCACACAGGCGGGCGGACCUGUGCUUCUGUAGGCGAGAGGAAGGCUGAGCUGGCAGCCUGCGUGAGCUUUUGGUUUCUCUGCACGUGGCCAUUUAGUUUGGAAUGAAAGGGGUGAAGCACGGCUUUUAUGUGACCUGAGAGCAGCCCCCACGUGACUGCAUCAGAGCUCCCCGGGGGGGGGGGGGGGGGCGAGGUUCCUGGGCCCGGAGGACCCGCCGAGGACCUCCUGUGCGAUGGAAGUCAUGCGUGACUCGCUGUGUGAUGGAAGUCAUGCGUGAACGUCAGCACGCACGGUGCUGGGGGGCCCUGGGUCUGCUGGGGGUCUGCCCAUCACCUCCCUCUGCUCCCCCAGCAUCGUCUGAGGUUCAGGUUUCAGACACAGGGUGGUGCCAAGGGCCACAUGAAGCACUGACCUUCCGGGGGGCUUGCGGCUUUCCCGUGAGCGACAGUGCACGAUGGCUGCCCCCUCCCCCACACCCCCACACACAGCAGGGGCGGAGAGACAGAUCUGGGCAGACAGAUGGCUGUGGGAGGGUGGUAGAUGGAGGUGAGUGGAGGAUUCCGGCGCCUCAACGGCUCAUCCUGCUCCAGCCCCCUCCCCAAGCCUCAGUUUCCCCGUGUUACAGGGGCCCCCAUCCCCCCGCACCCGCAGAGCCUUUCACUCCCUUGUCCAGUGUGACCCCCAUGGCCACCAUCUCUCCUCUCUGGGCCACCUCGCUUCCUCCCGGUCGGCAGGGGGGGCCGGACAUGGCCCUGCUCUGUGGGGACCUAAUGGGCUUUGCGGGGAGACGGGAGCUUCUGUGUGGGGUGGGCAGCAGGGCUCUAGGGUUUGGUGUGAACAGGUGGUUCUGGGGAGGAAAAGCUGAGCAAGGGCGAGGCCUGGA